rnacentral:rRNA from 1 species
UACGUAGGGGGCGAGCGUUAUCCGGAUUUACUGGGCGUAAAGCGCGUUAAGGCGGUUGGCAAAGUUGGUUGUGAAAUCUCAGGGCUCAACCCUGAAAUUGCGACCAAUACUGGUCGACUAGAGUGCAAGAGAGGAAGGUGGAAUUCCCGGUGUAGUGGUGAAAUGCGUAGAGAUCGGGAGGAACACCUGUGGCGAAGGCGGCCGGCUGGGGGUGCCCUG